AGCGGGCCGAGACAAACAAGACAAACCGGUCCAAACAGGCGGUGGGGACUCAGGGUCGGCGAUCUAUUUCUCUUGCCCACGAUCGGGCGUUGGCCAAGCACCAUAACGAAAAGAAGGAGGGGCCACCCCCUACGUGGGAGUCGACUUGGGCGGCAACCCACAGACUACAACCUCCGGAAGUUGCGUCCCGUCUGGAAGCUGUGCAGCAGAGACAUUCACAGGAUCCUGCACCGACACCUCCAACGCAGUUGUUCCCGGAAGCGUUUGGAUCGCGAUCCGGACAUCAGCGCGGACUAGGGAGGAUUCUCAGGGGUUUCGGAUCCCAUGAUUUCCCUGGUGAGUUGCCGCAACCACAUUAUGGACCUCCGGAAGGAUCCUCCUCCGGCCCGCGUGCA